GUGUAUGUGUGUAGAAAUCUACAAGGUGGUAUUUGGCAAGUGAUGAAAAAGAGAAAACGUGAAAGAGAACGACGGGAGGGGAAUAAAUUCGAUGAUCAAAGUGCCUGGAUAGGACAAGUAAAGCUUCUCGGUUGGGGUCCUUUAGGGUUUACCAACGUAUUAUAAUUACGUAGAGAUUCUGAAGGACAACGUUACAAAGCGACGGUAACAAAAAGAAUUUGUAAAUAACAAAGGACAAUGGAAGGGCGGAUCAUGAGACGCGCGGCAAAUCUACC